CUUCCUCCUCCUCUUCCUCUAACGAUGCAGCAGGACGAGGAAGAGCUGCUGACCGACUGUUUACCUUUCUGCAGUUUUGGCUUCAUUGCUUACCUGAAUAUGACCUUUCACUAAAAAUUCCAGUGAUGUCAGGCCUUCACUGCCUCAUUAUGAAAUAUUCAACAUGAAACCGUCACAGAGCGCCAGGUGAGACGAUUCCACAUGCAGGCUGAACGAAAGCCAAUCAGGUCAGGGGGCGGAUCCCAGAGCACCUGCUAACCAAUCAAUAAUCAAUCUGGUCUGGCUAAAGACCUCAGUUUACCGUGAUCUGAUUGGCUGCAGCUGGAGUCAGCCUUGGUGAACUUUAAACAGAAACAAGACGGAAGCAGAGGGGGAAAAGGAGUGGAUGGUUGGAUGGACGGUUGGAUGGACGGUUGGAUGCUAGCGUAGCAGCUUACCUUGCAGUUGGGUC